CGCAUCUGUGCAUGCAGCAUAUCAAUAAGCGGAGGAAAAGAAACUAACAAGGAUUCCCCUAGUAACGGCGAGUGAAGCGGGAAGAGCUCAAAUUUGAAAUCUUAAAGGGUUUCCCUUUACGAAUCGUAGUUUAAAGAAGUGUUUUCUGUUGAGGUUUUGGUAGAAGUUCUUUGGAAUAGGACAUCAUAGAGGGUGAGAAUCCCGUAUUUGACCUUUACUUUCAACUUUGUGAUACACUUUCAAAGAGUCGGAUUGUUUGGGAAUGCAGUCCAAAAUGGGUGGUAAAUUUCAUCUAAAGCUAAAUAUUGGCGAGAGACCGAUAGCGAACAAGUACCGUGAGGGAAAGAUGAAAAGAACUUUGAAAAGAGAGUUAAACAGUACGUGAAAUUGUCAAAAGGGAAGCGUUUGACACCAGUGUUGUUUUUCUGAAAAUCAAUUAAAGAACUGUUUAUGCUAAGUUGUUUAGACUUUAUCAGCUAACUGUUUAGUUUUGAGCUUUUCUUUAAUGCACUUUUCAGUUAACAAGUCAACAUCAAUUUCUUUUGCUGUAAAAAAGCUUGAGGAAGGUGGUUUGAGAUUCGUCUUAAGUGUUUAUAGCCUCUUGCCUAUGCAGUCGGAGAGAUUGAGGUCUGCAGCGUAGAUCCUUCGGGGCUAAAUGCAUUUGUGCUAAGUUAUAGCAUUUUAUAGACAACUUGUUGACUAUGAUUUGUCUUGUAGCUUACUCGCUUAUGUUAUUUUACCUACGCUUAGGAUGUUGAACGCGCACAGAGUCUC
rnacentral:rRNA from 1 species